rnacentral:tRNA from 1 species
GGGAUUGUGGCUCAGCGGUAGAGCACUCACCUAGUAUGUGCAGGACCCUGGGUUUGAUCCUCAGCAUCACA